GAAAGGUAGAGUAGCUACAUUAUGUUCACAGGUAGGGCAACUCACCUAGGGUACAGCAUAAUAGAAUUUGAGAGGUAAGGGACAGCUUUAUAUGCCUUUUCUCUCUAUCCAGGAAGGCCAUGUACUUCCUUAAUAGAAAAAUGGUAUAUAAGAGAAUACCAUUUGCACAAAGACUUUCUCCAGAGGGGAGGCAAGAGAACUAAUAUUUAUUGAGCACUUACUAAUUGCUCCAAUAGUCUAAUCUAUAUGGAGGUGGUAGUGUUAUCCUCAUUUUCCAGAAAAAUAAUGAAAAAAGGGUUAAAUAAUUUUCCCAAGGUCAUUCAACUGGUAUAUUGCAAUUCUGGGAUUUGAACUUAAAGCUGACUGUAGCCCACACUUCUUCCCUGGAUUUUGUUUCACCUUUUUAUUUUGGUACUGGGAAUCAAACCCAGGCCCUCAUGCAUGCUAGGCAAGAGCUUUACCACUGAGCCACACCCCUAGCCUGAUUUUAUUGCAUUUUAAUAGCAAAGGGGUUUAUGUGACAUAUCCUAUAGCCAGAGACCAGAAGUAAAAAAAAAAAAUGUCCUAUCCUCCAAAUAUCUUUUAAUCAAACUAUUAAAUAUGAAAUCUUUAGAAGUAAACCUUUAUGAAAGUAUAUCCUAUUUUAUCAUAAUAUGCCCUUGCAAGAUGUUAGUAUGUAAUAAAAACAUAUUAAAAACAAACCCUGUUGUUACUGCUGACCUAUACAAUAUUCUUGAACAAUGGAAAUAAUUACAAAGAAUUUAUUACAGUUUUAACAUUAACCCCUCCUAUUUUCUUUUCCUUGUCACACACAGUCCGAUGCUUCCUAAGUUUAUAUGCUAAUAUUUCCUAUGUUAGUAUAGAUAUUCCAAAACAUUUGGUUGCUUUCAUAGAAUAUUCCCAUGUGAAUAUCUUUAUCAAGUUAAAAAAAAACAACAAAUAAACCUCUGCUGCAGACACAUGUCAGAGAAUCAUUCUCACCCCAUAGGCACAAAUCCAAACUCUUGUUUUCAUUAAAUGGGUUGGUUUGUACAUGUGCACAUGCAUGCAGAGGAUCUAUUCUCUUGUAGGAUAGGAACAAUUUCCCAGGCAGCCAACCCUCCUGGUGUGACCCAGGGGAACUCAGCAGGUUGAAAGCUGCUCAAUGCAGCCUUGAAUCCAGCCCAAAUGCUGUUUUGCUCAAGCAGAGCAAACCACACAGGCCCUUCUUUCAUGAAGUCUCCCUCAGCCCCCUACCCAACCCUUCUUGGCUUCAACCCAAUUAUGGAGCUCCCACACUGGCAGGAUUAAAUGUAGCAGAAAACAAGUCAGGGCAAUUAUUUGAGAACUUAGCCUAAAGAUAUACCCCAAAGAAUUUGGGAAAAGAUAAAAAAAGAUCAGAGAAAAUUAAAAAUGUAUAAUCUAACAAAUCAAAGAUAACUAAUGUUUUGAUCUAAAAAUAGAGAUUGCUUAUCCAUGAAAUGAAUACAUGAAUUACUAUAAAAUGUAUUACAAACAGCUCAAAGAAGUAUAAGGUAAUAUGUGAAAGUCUCCUUCUCCUGCUUAUCUCAUUCUUAUUGCCCAGAGGGCAUCACAGAUUAAGGUUCCUUGUGAUACUUUCCACACAUUGUCAUAUUCAAGUAUAUCUGUACAUUCUUUUCCUCCUACAAAUGGAAGCCAAGGAUAAGAUCACAGAUUGUAAGAUGAACUGUGUUUGGAUUCAUCUUGACAAAUUUAAUUGUGUGCUCUGUGGAAAGUUAUGUGGGCUUUCUGUGCCUCAGUCUCCUAUUUAGGAAAGGGGAAUAAAUAGUAUUAGCCACUUCAUAGGGCUGUUAGGAGGAUUAAAUGAGUUGCUGUAUCCCAAGUACUUAAAACAGUGUCUGCUAUGUAUUAAAUGCUAUGCUAAGUGUCAGUACUAAUUUUUACAAGGACUUUAUUGAAAUAAAUUUUUCAUAUCAUAGAAUUAUUUUAAAGUGUACAAUUCAGUGAUUUUUUAGUAACAUUACUGAGUGGUAUAAUCAUCACCAGAAAUCAAUUUUAGAACAUUUUCAGCCUCUUAUAAGAUCUCCUGUGUUCAUUUACAUUUAAUCACUAUUCCUGUCCCCCAAACAUAGGUGAUCAUUAAUUUACUUUCUCUUUUUUUAGGUAUUUCAUAGAAAUGGAAUCAUACAAUAUUUGGUCGCUUGUGUUUUUCUUUUUCAUUUCAAAAAAUGUUUGAGAUUCAUCUAUAAUGCAAUGUGUAUUAAUAGUCUGUUCCAUUUUAUUGCUGAAUAGUAUUUCAUGGCAUGGAUAGACCACAUUCUGUCUAUCCAUUUGCCAGUUGAUGGACAUUUCGGUUGGAUCCAACUUUUGGCAAUUAUUAAUAAUGCUAUUGUAAACAUUUCCAUGUAAGUCUUUAUGUGGAUAUAUUAAACUCAUCCUAAGUAUUUUAUUCUCUUGACACUAUUUUAAGUGAUAGUUCAUUCUUUGAUUUUGAUUGGUGCAUUGCUUGUGCUCAGAAAUGCAAUUGAUUUUAUGUGUUGGUCUUAUGUCCUGUGGCCAUGAUGUUAAUUUGAAUGCCUUGGGAUUUUCUAUAUACGUGAUUAUGUCAUAUGUGAAUAGAAUAUUUGUACUUCCACCUUUCCAGUCUGGAUGAUUUAUUUUAUUU
rnacentral:lncRNA from 1 species